rnacentral:rRNA from 1 species
CCUUUGACGUUAGCGGCGGACGGGUGAGUAACACGUGGGUAACCUACCUAUAAGACUGGGAUAACUUCGGGAAACCGGAGCUAAUACCGGAUAAUAUUUCGAACCGCAUGGUUCGAUAGUGAAAGNUGGUUUUGCUAUCACUUAUAGAUGGACCCGCGCCGUAUUAGCUAGUUGGUAAGGUAACGGCUUACCAAGGCGACGAUACGUAGCCGACCUGAGAGGGUGAUCGGCCACACUGGAACUGAGACACGGUCCAGACUCCUACGGGAGGCAGCAGC